rnacentral:lncRNA from 1 species
CUCUGACACUGUUGAUGGGAUUAAGUCCUGCUGGGUUGGCUAGAUGUGCCCUGAGGCCAAAACCUCCAGGAAAGGGGGGAGAAACAUGUAGGGUCUCCCCUGCUGCAAACAGGCUGCCUGCUCUGCGCUUCCUCUCCAGCUCCUUCCCCACUGCCUGUGUUGGAGGCUCUGAGCCUGGUACAGCCCUGCCCACAAGGAAUACUGACAAAGACUUUCCUGGAGAGAGUGUGGUGGAGCCAAGGUGGUAACUUGAGAACAGCUCCUGCCCAGUGGACCAAGAAAGAGAGUGGCUGGAAGAGUCUGAUGAUGCUGCACACUUUCCACCUGGAGGAAUUUAUUUAUUUAUUUUUCUCUUCUCCUCAUACAGUCAACCUUCAAGCAAACACAUAUAUAAAGUAGAUGAUAUCUAAAGUCUUUUCUUCUAAAAUUCUUGGUGCUGCCCAUUAAUCCUUCAUUGAGAAUCUACCAAAGCUCCAAAAUAUCCCCAUGUCAUUUCUGCACCAUACCAUCUGCACCCUGGCCACCAUCCAUAUCUUUCCUCCUCCCCAUCCAACUUGGACUCUUCCUCUGGGAUGUUAGGUUCUGAUAGAUGAGCUUUGACCUUGCUCAGAACCAGGUCAAGAUGACCUCCCUGGCUAUCUCCUGUACACUGCUCUUGUACAAAUUCUAUCAGAUUGUUUCCCUGUUUGUGCAGUAUAUGGAUGCAAGGGUAAGGAUAGUGAGCAUUUAUAGAGCAUCUACUCUGGGCCAAGUACUUUAAAAAAAUAUUCUCUCAUUUGAUCUUCAUGACAAUUUCACAAGACAGAUGCUGUUAUCUCCAUUUUUAAUUGAGGAAACCAAGGCAAACAGAAGUUGAGUGAGUUGCUUAGGGCCACAUAGCUAAUAAGUAUUUGAGGCUGGAUUUGAACUCAGCUACCUGAGUAUAAUAGUUGUUGCAGAUAAUAUGCUUCAACCUGAAUACACAGCUCACAUUUUUGAUUCUUCAGAGAUAGUGGUUUUCCAUGAAUUGGAAUCCUAAAGCAUUACUAGAAAUAUAUCAGGGUUAAAAAAACAAAAUAGUUUUGGGGUUAGGCAACAACUCUGGAACAUUUAAAGCAGAGUACAAUUGUCCAAGUGAAAUCUAACCCACUCUUUAAAAAAAUUGUUGAUUUUUUUAAAACAUUCUUUUCUUUUGAAGUUUUGAGUUCCCAAUUCUCUCUCUUCCACCUUUUCCCCUGCCCACAGAAAAGGCAAGCAACAUAAUAUCAA